rnacentral:sRNA from 1 species
AUAUCUCUCUGUACGGGAAGGAUGAGAAGCUUCGACUAAGGUUCGAUUCGAGCGCAGCGAGAAAGCGUUGCCGUAGGCAACGACCCGAAGGGCGAAGCGCGCAGC